UACGGAGGAUGCAAGCGUUAUCCGGAAUGAUUGGGCGUAAAGCGUCCGCAGGUGGCUGUGUAAGUCUGCUGUUAAAUAGUGAGGCUCAACCUCAUAAAGGCAGUGGAAACUACGCGGCUAGAGUGCGUUCGGGGCAGAGGGAAUUCCUGGUGUAGCGGUGAAAUGCGUAGAGAUCAGGAAGAACACCGGUGGCGAAAGCGCUCUGCUAGGCCGCAACUGACACUGAGGGACGAAAGCUAGGGGAGCGAAUGGG
rnacentral:rRNA from 1 species